UACGUAGGGUGCUAGCGUUGUUCGGAAUCAUUGGGCGUAAAGCGCGUGUAGGCUGUUAAUUAAGUCGGGUGUGAAAUCCCUGGGCUCAACCGAGGAAGUGCAUCCGAAACUAAUUGGCUAGAAGACGGCAGAGGAAGGUGGAAUUCCUAGUGUAGAGGUGAAAUUCGUAGAUAUUAGGAGGAAUACCGGUGGCGAAGGCGGCCUUCUGGACCGUUCUUGACGCUGAGACGCGAAAGCGUGGGGAGCAAACAGG
rnacentral:rRNA from 1 species